rnacentral:rRNA from 1 species
UUGAACGCUGGCGGCAUGCCUUACACAUGCAAGUCGAACGCGAAAGCGGGCAACCCGCAAGUAGAGUGGCGAACGGGUGAGUAAUACAUCGGAACGUGUCCAGUAGCGGGGGAUAACCUCUCGAAAGAGAGGCUAAUACCGCAUACGACCUACGGGUGAAAGAGGGGGAUCGCAAGACCUCUCACUAUUGGAGCGGCCGAUGUCGGAUUAGCUAGUUGGCGGGGUAACGGCCCACCAAGGCGACGAUCCGUAGCUGGUCUGAGAGGACGGCCAGCCACACUGGAACUGAGACACGGUCCAGACUCCUACGGGAGGCAGCAGUGGGGAAUUUUGGACAAUGGGCGCAAGCCUGAUCCAGCCAUGCCGCGUGAGUGAAGAAGGCCUUCGGGUUGUAAAGCUCUUUCGGCGGGGACGAAAUGGUCCGUGUUAACACCACGGAUCUCUGACGGUACCCGCAGAAGAAGCACCGGCUAACUACGUGGCCAGCAGCCGCGGUAAUACGUAGGGUGCAGGCGUUAAUCGGAAUUACUGGGCGUAAAGCGUGCGCAGGCGGUCUCUUAAGACAGGUGUGAAAUCCCCGGGCUUAACCUGGGAACUGCGCUUGUAACUGAGAGGCUUGAGUGUGCCAGAGGGGGGUGGAAUUCCACGUGUAGCAGUGAAAUGCGUAGAGAUGUGGAGGAACACCGAUGGCGAAGGCAGCCCCCUGGGGUAACACUGACGCUCAUGCACGAAAGCGUGGGGAGCAAACAGGAUUAGAUACCCUGGUAGUCCACGCCCUAAACCAUGUCAACUGGUUGUCGGGGAAGCAAUUCCUUGGUAACGAAGCUAACGCGUGAAGUUGACCGCCUGGGGAGUACGGCCGCAAGGUUAAAACUCAAAGGAAUUGACGGGGACCCGCACAAGCGGUGGAUUAUGUGGAUUAAUUCGAUGCAACGCGAAAACCUCUACCUACCCUUGACAUGCCAGGAAGCUCUCAGAGAUGGGAGUGUGCCCGAAAGGGAACCUGGACACAGGUGCUGCAUGGCUGUCGUCAGCUCGUGUCGUGAGAUGUUGGGUAAGUCCCGCAACGAGCGCAACCCUUGCCAUUAGUUGCUACAUUUAGUUGAGCACUCUAAUGGGACUGCCGGUGACAAACCGGAGGAAGGUGGGGAUGACGUCAAGUCCUCAUGGCCCUUAUGGGUAGGGCUUCACUCGUAAUACAAUGGCCGGUACAGAGGGCAGCCAACUCGCGAGAGGGAGCUAAUCCCAGAAAGCCGGUCGUAGUCCGGAUUGCAGUCUGCAACUCGACUGCAUGAAGCCGGAAUCGCUAGUAAUCGCGGAUCAGCAUGUCGCGGUGAAUACGUUCCCGGGUCUUGUACACACCGCCCGUCACACCAUGGGAGUGGGUUUCACCAGAAGUAGUUAGCCUAACCGCAAGGAGGGCGACUACCACGGUGAGAUUCAUGACUGGGGUG